UUCGCCCUUAGAGUUUGAUCCUGGCUCAGGACGAACGCUGGCGGCGCGCCUAACACAUGCAAGUCGAACGAGCGAGAGAGAGCUUGCUUUCUCGAGCGAGUGGCGAACGGGUGAGUAACGCGUGAGGAACCUGCCUCAAAGAGGGGGACAACAGUUGGAAACGACUGCUAAUACCGCAUAAGCCCACGGGUCGGCAUCGACCAGAGGGAAAAGGAGCAAUCCGCUUUGAGAUGGCCUCGCGUCCGAUUAGCUAGUUGGUGAGGUAACGGCCCACCAAGGCAACGAUCGGUAGCCGGACUGAGAGGUUGAACGGCCACAUUGGGACUGAGACACGGCCCAGACUCCUACGGGAGGCAGCAGUGGGGAAUAUUGCACAAUGGGGGAAACCCUGAUGCAGCGACGCCGCGCGGAGGAAGAAGGUCUUCGGAUUGUAAACUCCUGUUGUUGGGGAAGAUAAUGACGGUACCCAACAAGGAAGUGACGGCUAACUACGUGCCAGCAGCCGCGGUAAAACGUAGGUCACAAGCGUUGUCCGGAAUUACUGGGUGUAAAGGGAGCGCAGGCGGGAAGACAAGUUGGAAGUGAAAUCUAUGGGCUCAACCCAUAAAACUGCUUUCAAAACUGUUUUUCUUGAGUAGUGCAGAGGUAGGCGGAAUUCCCGGUGUAGCGGUGGAAUGCGUAGAUAUCGGGAGGAACACCAGUGGCGAAGGCGGCCUACUGGGCACCAACUGACGCUGAGGCUCGAAAGUGUGGGUAGCAAACAGGAUUAGAUACCCUGGUAGUCCACACCGUAAACGAUGAUUACUAGGUGUUGGAGGAUUGACCCCUUCAGUGCCGCAGUUAACACAAUAAGUAAUCCACCUGGGGAGUACGACCGCAAGGUUGAAACUCAAAGGAAUUGACGGGGGCCCGCACAAGCAGUGGAGUAUGUGGUUUAAUUCGACGCAACGCGAAGAACCUUACCAAGUCUUGACAUCCCUUGACAGGCAUAGAAAUAUGUUUUCUCUUCGGAGCAAGGAGACAGGUGGUGCAUGGUUGUCGUCAGCUCGUGUCGUGAGAUGUUGGGUUAAGUCCCGCAACGAGCGCAACCCUUAUGGUCAGUUACUACGCAAGAGGACUCUGGCCAGACUGCCGUUGACAAAACGGAGGAAGGUGGGGAUGACGUCAAAUCAUCAUGCCCUUUAUGACUUGGGCUACACACGUACUACAAUGGCGUUAAACAAAGAGAAGCAAGACCGCGAGGUGGAGCAAAACUCAGAAACAACGUCCCAGUUCGGACUGCAGGCUGCAACUCGCCUGCACGAAGUCGGAAUUGCUAGUAAUCGUGGAUCAGCAUGCCACGGUGAAUACGUUCCCGGGCCUUGCACACACCGCCCGUCA
rnacentral:rRNA from 1 species